AGCCGGGUAGCUCAGUGGUUAGAGCACCCGAGAUAUAUCCGGGGGUCCCUGGGUUCAAAUCCCAAUCUGGUCA